rnacentral:rRNA from 1 species
AGAGUUUGAUCAUGGCUCAGGACGAACGCUGGCGGCGUGCCUAAUACAUGCAAGUCGAGCGAAGGAUAGGCCUCAAGUCUUCGGAUGCGAAGCCUAUCACUGAGCGGCGAACGGGUGAGUAACGCGUGGGCAACCUGCCCCCCAGACUGGGAUAACAGCUCGAAAGGGCUGCUAAUACCGGAUACGCCUCAAGUUCCGCAUGGGAUUUGAGUGAAAGCGGUUAGCGCUGGGGGAUGGGCCCGCGUCCCAUUAGCUAGUUGGUGAGGUAACGGCUCACCAAGGCGACGAUGGGUAGCCGGCCUGAGAGGGUGGACGGCCACACUGGGACUGAAACACGGCCCAGACUCCUACGGGAGGCAGCAGUAGGGAAUAUUGCGCAAUGGGGGGAACCCUGACGCAGCGACGCCGCGUGAGCGACGAAGGCCUUCGGGUCGUAAAGCUCUGUCCUAUGGGACGAAGAGGACGGUACCAUAGGAGGAAGCCCCGGCUAACUACGUGCCAGCAGCCGCGGUAAUACGUAGGGGGCGAGCGUUGUCCGGAAUUACUGGGCGUAAAGGGUGCGUAGGCGGAUAUGCAAGUCCGAUGUGAAAUGCGCCGGCUUAACCGGUGAGCUGCAUUGGAAACUGUAUAUCUAGAGUGCAGGAGAGGGAAGCGGAAUUCCUAGUGUAGCGGUGGAAUGCGUAGAUAUUAGGAGGAACACCAGUGGCGAAGGCGGCUUCCUGGACUGUAACUGACGCUGAGGCACGAAAGCUGGGGUAGCGAACAGGAUUAGAUACCCUGGUAGUCCCAGCCGUAAACGAUGGGUACUAGGUGUUGUCACUUCAUUGUGGCAGUGCCGUAGUUAACGCAAUAAGUACCCCGCCUGGGGAGUACGGCCGCAAGGCUGAAACUCAAGGAUUGACGGGGCCCGCACAGCGGUGGAGCAUGUGGUUUAUUCGAGCACGCGAGAACCUACAGGCUUGACAU